rnacentral:tRNA from 1 species
UCCGGCAUGGUGUAGCGGUUAGCAUACUCCGCUUUCAAUCAAACGAUUCAAAGUCCCGGAGAGAUCCGAGUUCGACUCUCGGUGUCGGAA